CCUACGGGUGGCUGCAGUGGGGAAUAUUGCACAAUGGGCGAAAGCCUGAUGCAGCGACGCCGCGUGAGCGAAGAAGGCCUUCGGGUCGUAAAGCUCUGUCCUAUGGGAAGAAGAAUGACGGUACCAUAGGAGGAAGCCCCGGCUAACUACGUGCCAGCAGCCGCGGUAAUACGGAGGGGGGGAGCGUUGUCCGGAAUGACUGGGCGUAAAGGGUCGGUAGGCGGCUAGAUAAGUCGGAUGUGAAAGGCAUAGGCUUAACCUGUGUAAGCAUUUGAAACUGUCUAGAUUGAGUCAAGGAGAGGAAAGUGCGAAUCCUGGUGUAGCGGUGAAAUGCGUAGAUAUCAGAAGGAAAACCAGUGGCGAAGGGGACUUACUGGACUUAGAAUGACGCUGAGGUACGAACGCGUGGGGAGCAAACAGGAUUAGAUGCCCGAGUAGUC
rnacentral:rRNA from 1 species